rnacentral:rRNA from 1 species
CCUACGGGUGGCAGCAGUGGGGAAUAUUGCACAAUGGGGGAAACCCUGAUGCAACGACGCCGCGUGAGUGAAGAAGUAAUUCGGUAUGUAAAGCUCUAUCAGCAGGGAAGAAAAUGACGGUACCUGAGUAAGAAGCCCCGGCUAACUACGUGCCAGCAGCCGAGGUAAUACGUAGGGGGCAAGCGUUAUCCGGAUUUACUGGGUGUAAAGGGAGCGUAGACGGCAGUGCAAGUCUGGAGUGAAAGGCGGGGGCUCAACCCCCGGACUGCUCUGGAAACUGUACGGCUGGAGUGCAGGAGAGGUAAGUGGAAUUCCUAGUGUAGCGGUGAAAUGCGUAGAUAUUAGGAAGAACACCAAUGGCGAAGGCAGCUUACUGGACUGUAACUGACGUUGAGGCUCGAAAGCGUGGGGAGCAAACAGGAUUAGAUACCCGUGUAGUC